rnacentral:rRNA from 1 species
AACGGAGGGGACAAGUGUUACUCGUCAUAACUGGGCGUAAAGGGUCCGUAGACGGCUUAGUUAAUCAAUUGAUAAAUCGAAUAGGUUAGUUGAUAUUGCUAGGCUCGAGUUUUGGGGAAGGUUGAAGUACUCCUAGUGGAGGGGUGAAAUCCGUAGAUACUGGUGGGGACUAUCACUUGGCGAAAGCAUCAACCUAUACAAUAACUGACGUUGAGGGACGAAAGCGUGGGGGAGCAAACAGG